rnacentral:rRNA from 1 species
UACGUAGGGUCCGAGCGUUGUCCGGAAUUAUUGGGCGUAAAGAGCUCGUAGGCGGUCUGUCGCGUCAAUCGUGAAAACUUGGGGCUUAACCCUGAGCUUGCGGUCGAUACGGGCAUGACUGGAGUUCGGCAGGGGAGACUGGAAUUCCUGGUGUAGCGGUGAAAUGCGCAGAUAUCAGGAGGAACACCGGUGGCGAAGGCGGGUCUCUGGGCCGAUACUGACGCUGAGGAGCGAAAGCGUGGGGAGCGAACAGG